rnacentral:rRNA from 1 species
GUAGGUGGCAAGCGUUGUCCGGAAUUAUUGGGCGUAAAGCGCGCGCAGGCGGUUCUUUAAGUCUGAUGUGAAAGCCCACGGCUCAACCGUGGAGGGUCAUUGGAAACUGGAGAACUUGAGUACAGAAGAGGAAAGCGGAAUUCCACGUGUAGCGGUGAAAUGCGUAGAGAUGUGGAGGAACACCAGUGGCGAAGGCGGCUUUCUGGUCUGUAACUGACGCUGAGGCGCGAAAGCGUGGGGAGCAAACAGGGAUUAGAUACCCUGGUAGUCCACGCCGUAAACGAUGAGUGCUAAGUGUUAGGGGGUUUCCGCCCCCCUUAGUGCUGCAGCUAACGCAUUAAGCACUCCGCCUGGGGAGUACGGCCGCAAGGCUG